rnacentral:misc_RNA from 1 species
UCAAACUUGGUCAUUUAGAGGAAGUAAAAGUCGUAACAAGGUUUCCGUAGGUGAACCUGCGGAAGGAUCAUUAAUGAAUUAAGGAUGUGCUGGCCCAUGUGGUAAUUUCGCUGCAUGCUACGCAUUAAUGUGCACUCCGGUAAAAUUCUCUUAUUCACCCCUUUGUGCACCAUUAUCGUGCAGGCAAGGUCCAGGAAAAACUCAUCCGAGUUGUUGUUUCCCCCCUUGUCUGUCAUUUUUAAAAUACACCCACUUUAAAACAUAAAAAUAAAUGAAUCAUAAUAAAUAAAAAAACAACUUUCAACAACGGAUCUCUUGGCUCUCGCAUCGAUGAAGAACGCAGC